UACGUAGGGGGCAAGCGUUGUCCGGAAUCAUUGGGCGUAAAGCGCGCGUAGGCGGCCCGGUAAGUCCGUUGUGAAAGUCGAAGGCUCAACCUUCGAAAGCCGAUGGAUACUGCCGGGCUAGAGUACGGAAGAGGUGAGUGGAAUUCCUGGUGUAGCGGUGGAAUGCGCAGAUAUCAGGAGGAACACCAAUAGCGAAGGCAGCUCACUGGGACGUUACUGACGCUGAGGCGCGAAAGCGUGGGGAGCGAACAGG
rnacentral:rRNA from 1 species